rnacentral:rRNA from 1 species
UACGUAGGGUGCGAGCGUCGUCCGGAAUUAUUGGGCGUAAAGAGCUCGUAGGCGGUCUGUCGCGUCGAAUGUGAAAACCCGGGGCUCAACUCCGGGCUUGCAUUCGAUACGGGCAGGCUAGAGUUCGGUAGGGGAGUCUGGAAUUCCUGGUGUAGCGGUGAAAUGCGCAGAUAUCAGGAGGAACACCGGUGGCGAAGGCGGGUCUCUGGGCCGUAACUGACGCUGAGGAGCGAAAGCAUGGGGAGCGAACAGG